UACGUAACCAUAAACUUUCUUAAUGGUAUGAGCAUAAAAAACUCACAAUAAAAAAAGGAUGUUUGAAAAGAAGCCGCGGCGUCUGAGAACAAGCUGACCCUUCUUCGCACCGAACUGAAUAAAUUGCUACCGUGCUACGCAAGUACUGCUUCCAGCAUCCUUGGGAACCGAGUUAUCGGCUUUGACAUUAUCUGUGGAGUAGCGUGGGAAACUAGUAACACAUUUAACCCCAAAAAGUUGCAUCAUGCCAAACUUUUUGUCAAGCACAGAUGAUGCUACUACGUUGACCCCCUGUGAGCGCACACUAUUCUUCGCUUGCUGAAUUAUUCGAUUCAACUUCGUCUGAAGCUUAUCAAUUUCGUUUCGGAAAACAUAUUUAUGCAUCUAUCAGAGAGCGCAAUAAUCUAGUUGAGCUACCGUUGGAGUGGUCUUGUAAUUGUUUUGAAGCUGAAUUGGUCAGUGAUAGCGUCGUUUGGCCUAUUAACCCUGCAUAGCGCGCGGUGUAUGUGAAGGGGAUUGCUGGGGUACCUUGUGAGCAUCGCCGAUCCGUCUGUAGAAGCAAGUGAUGAUGGACCAAGACGUUCGACAAGGUUUUCAAAACCAAGCACUCUUGUGAAUGGAUCCAACUGGAUUGUCUAGGAGCGAGCUUGCACGCAGGUACCGGGCGUGGCCCAUGUAAGAAAGAUUAAAUAGAUGACUCGGUUGUAAGAGGAGUGUAUGUUGUAAAGACUAAGUACUUGCAUCACGCAAGCUGCCCUCUGCCCUAUGAAUCCCACUUUGUCCUCGUGAUCUCAAA